ensembl:lncRNA
AAGUGCAACAACAGCUCAAACCACAAUGCCACUUGCACCUGCAACUACUGAAACACUCACAAUCACCAAAAUGACUUCAGAAACCACAACUGCACCAACCACAUCGAUAACUACAGCCUCCACAACUACCACUGUAGCUUCAACAAUGACAACAGCAGCUUCUCUUGCAACAACCACAACUACAGCUUCCAUCACCACAACCAUUCCUUCCACUUCUACAUCAGAUCAAACCACACCUAAGGCUGCAAGUACAACAUCAAAAGGUCCGAACACAACUUCAAAAAGUAUAACUUCACCUGCUGGAAUGAUGGAAUAUUCAACUACUACAUCAAGUUUAACCCCAGCCACAACUACUGAAACCUCAACUCUUACUUCACCAACAAUGUCUACAACUUCAGAAAGUACUCCUGCACCUGCAACAUCCACCAUUACAGCUUCCUCUUCUACGAAUAACUAUCCCACAACAGAAAAUCCAUCUCAAACCUCAACUUCAAUUCCAGGCACAAACACACCUACAGCGGCAACAACAACUGCAUUCCAAAUAACAACUGCACCUCUAUCAACCACAACUAUUGCUUUCACUAAUACAGCUCCAGCUCUAAGCCAAGCAGGACUCCUUACCACAACAAAUGCACCUCCAGUUAUCACAACUGUGUCUCCGGAGACCAUAACUAUUGCUGUAACAAUUAUGCCUAUCUCAUCAUCACAUGUAACUAUAUCCCCAACUUUAACUCCAAUAAAAACAACUGAACCUCCAAGAACCCCAACUACACCCAUUACAACCAUGACUGUUCUUCCCACCACUACAAUUCCAGCUGAUAUCUCAACUACAGCUCCACGCACAACAACAGCCACUAUUCCAAGUUCAACUGCAGCUCAAACAACAACUGCAUUUCAAGUAACAACAGGAGAUCUUUUAAGAACAACUAUAGCUUUUACCAACACAUCUUCUGCUCCAGCCACACUUGCACUUUCAACCAAAACAACUUCAAGCCCAAACAUGGAUUCAGAAACUACAACUGCAUCAACAACUACAACUGGAAUUAAUACAGGUCUCACCAGUGCAGCAGAAUUUCCAAUAGCUCCAAUAACAUCAGUUUCAAACACAAAUGCAUCAACAUCCCCAGCAUCUACAAUUCCACGUCAAUCAUCAAUCAAAACAACACCAGCUGAAACACUUUCUAGCAAUACUACACCUCUAAACAAUGCAACAAAAGGAGAUGCAUCUGCAACACUUCAAAGUACUUCAAGUUUGCAACCAGAAACUUCAAACAUACCCAAAACAUUGUCAACAAAUGUGACUGGUGCAGCAACAGUCACAACCAUAUUGGUAUUCUCAUCCUUGUCGUCAGUGCCCAAUGAAAAUUUGGUCCUAGGUGCUAUCAGUACUCUUCUGGAAUCUAGACAGUCCCAACUCAAUGGAUCACUGAAGAUUGUAAAUUUUACUUAUCAGAAAAUCUCAGAAACCUCCUAUGUCGUCAUCUUCGACUUUAGUCUGAGUAAUAUCAGCAUGCCAGAGGAACCUGAUCUAAGAAACAACAGUUAUGUUCAAGUACAAGAUGUCAUCAAUAAUGCGCUGAACACUCUUCUGAAUGAACCUGGCAGUCUAACUUUACAACCCAAGACCUCCAACUUCACGAGCAAUUCAAGUCUGAUUGAAGGCAGGAUGGAAUACAACUUCCAGGAUGGAGAUGUCAUACAACCAGUCAGCUUCCUAAAUAUGCUACAUUUACGGACCACUACAACAUUGUUUCCGGAAACAACAUUUUUUUUCUCUGUGACUCCUUCCAAACUCAUAUCUGGUUCAGCAGUGGUCACAAGCAAGCUGGUGUUCAACUACUCAUCUCCAGUCCCCAGUGAAUCUCUGGUCCUCAAUGCAAUCAAAACUCUGCGUAAUUCCAGAGAGUCACAGCUCAAUGAAUCGGUGAAGGUGGUGAAUGUCACCUAUGAGAAAAUGUCAGAAACCUCCUAUGCUGUGGUCUUUACAUUUAACGUAAUUAACAUCAGCAUGCCAAAGGAACCUGUGUCUAGAGGCAACACCAACCAGAAAGUGCAGGAUACCAUCAAUAAAGCGCUGAACACUCUUCUGAAUGAACCUGGAAGUCCAACUUUUCAACCAAAGUCAUCAAACUUCACAAGCACUUCAAACCAGAUUGAUGGCAGAAUGGAAUACACCUUCCAGGAUGGAGAUGUCAUACAACCAGUCAGCUUCCUCAAUGAGCUUCGUUCACAGACAGUCUUAACGACAGCCAGCACUCUGACAACUACUCCACUGAUAGUGCGUGGCAAAGCGCUUAUAUUCAUUCGCCUCGUGUUUGUCACACUGGGCCCCCUGCCAAAUCCAGAGAAGGUUCUUGAGGUGGCCAACACUCUGCUUCAGACGCGUCUCAAAACUAAACAAGACACCAGUACUCAAGACCUGAGUGAUCCUGUGAGCUUUGUCAAUGUCACAUAUACAAAAAUAAAUGAGACGGCCUAUGCUCUCAACUUUGGAUUUGAAAUCAGCAAUAUAACCAUGACUGAGAAGCUUGAACUCAGGAAUGGCACCCACCUGUUAAUACAAGACUCUAUAAACUCAUUGCUGGGCAAGAUCCUUCUCAGUAACUCAUCAGCGCCUAUCAUUAAGUUCCAACCAGCUGAUUUCACGGGUAAUUCCACAGUAAUUAAGGCCAAUGUAGAGUAUGUUUUCUCACCAAGUGACAUCACGCAACCCAGCAUCUUUGUUCAGGAACUUCUCCAACUUAAUGAAGCGAGCACUCUGACAAGCACAACUUCACCACCGAUCUUGACUAGGAGGGCAAUUAUUAAGAUUCGUCUGGAGUUUAUCACACUGGGUCCAAGACCAAGUGAGAGUAAUGUUCUACAGGUGGUUAAAUCUAUGCUGGCCACAAAUCUCACAACUAAACUAACCACGAGAGUAACAAGCGUGAGCGAACCUGUGACCUUGAAUAAUGUUGUGUAUAUCGGAAUUAAUGACACCGCCUACGCACUGAUUUUUGCAUUCGAAAUGAACAAAGUAUUACUGACAGAGAUACAAAGGCAAGAAGCCUACAAAGAAAUCCAAAACAAGAUAAAUGAUUUGGUGAAGCAGAUACUAAAGGACCCCUCGGUUAAUCUGCUCCUUCCAGCCGAUUUCAAGGAUGAUCUCCUUGUGAUCGAGGCCAAUGUUACGUAUGUUUUCUCAGAACGUAACAGUAACACGGGCUCCGGUUUCUUGGUCAGUGCCCUUUUCAAGGCUUUUACCACACCAGCUCCAACCACCAUGAACACUACAAUCUCAAACAACAGUACUAAUGCAGCAUGGAUUGUGGCUAUCAUUGUCCCCUGUGCUAUUGUCAUCGGGCUCGUACCUUGCUGGAUUCUCCUUUGCUGUUUGCUGUGUGGUUGCUGUGCAGCAAUCAGAAGACGUUGGCACAGAAGACAGUCGUACAAUGUGCAGUACACCACUCGAAACAGUCUCUUCUAAAGAGUUCCGAGAUAUUUGACAAAAACAGGACUGAAAACCAAUGAGAACAUAAAAAUCAUGGAUUUUGGAUGCUAUCAAUACUGCUUCUUUUGUAGUAUUGAAAGUACUAUGUUAAUGCUUCUUUAUAAACUAUUUAUUUUAUUAUCCUAGACAAACAGGUCCUCCAUAAAAUAUUCCUUAAUGUGACAUUUUAAUACGUCCUAUAGUCUAUAAUGAAAUUGUAUUAUUGUUAUUUAUUUGUAUUUAUUUGUAAUAUUCUGUUUAUGUUUACAGUUAAUCUUUUGCAAAUCAUUAGUCUGCUUGACAUUACACAUUUUAAU